rnacentral:misc_RNA from 1 species
GCUCCUUGGCAGUUGAAUACACCCACCACCCCAGCAUACUGCAUUUAGCAGAUUGAGGCUUCAAGUAAUACGAAAUAUAGAAAACAAGUAAGUUAUAUACGUUCACUAGGCGUAUAAAUGUUGCAAAUUACCUUGUUUAGGUUCCAAAUUUUGAGCAGGGUCUUGCCAUCAAAAAGUGGGCUCUCAAAGAGGCAAUCUCUAGUUGGAAGGGCAUAAUGUUGGCAUCUGAGUAUAGUUCCAUCAGGAAGUACCAGCUUCCUCAGGAGAUUAAAAUAAUGGUGACCAACUUUGUCACUGACAUAAACAGGUCCACCAAAUAUGGCUCUUGAUACAGCAUGAAACUCUGCACAGAGAUGAUCUGACUGGAACAUGUCCCAAUCAGGUUGAACAAAUUGCCCCUGCUACAAGCUGUUGUAGCUGCAGUGGAUCAUGUGGACUCCUUGCAACCAGUAAACUCCCAUGGGAUAUCCAUUUGGGACUUCAAACCUGAAGUCAUUACCUACAUGACAGAAAUAAGCCAAUCAAGAUAAGCCAGGAAAGAAACCUCAAGGGACUAUUUUUCACAUUGUCAAAUUACAAAAACCAUUAUCUUAGUACUAGCAAUUUACCAACUCUGCCCAUGGAAAUCUGUUUUGUCGCCAGGAAAAGAAAUCAUUGCAUUGCUUCAUACUUGAAAUGAGUCCAGUUCCUCCAAAAUUCUUCUUCAGAGAUUUGGUCAGGCCAUCGUAGUAUGCCUUGGCAAGCUGAACUCUGCCACCGUAAUCCUCACAUACAUACUCCAGAGACUGUAGAAAUUGAGAACAAUGAUCAAAGGAGAAGAGAUGGGUUAUUUCUAAAACAUAAAGCAGCUAAAGAGAUUAUUAAUUCAGAAGGGGCUAAGGCCUGUGGGCGAAGAUGGUGGAGAUAAGUUUGCCG